rnacentral:rRNA from 1 species
AUUGAACGCUGGCGGCAGGCUUAACACAUGCAAGUCGAGCGGGGUGAGGUGCUUCGGUACUGAUCCUAGCGGCGGACGGGUGAGUAAUGCUUAGGAAUCUGCCUAUUAGUGGGGGACAACAUUCCGAAAGGAAUGCUAAUACCGCAUACGUCCUACGGGAGAAAGCAGGGGAUCUUCGGACCUUGCGCUAAUAGAUGAGCCUAAGUCGGAUUAGCUAGUUGGUGGGGUAAAGGCAUACCAAGGCGACGAUCUGUAGCGGGUCUGAGAGGAUGAUCCGCCACACUGAGACUGAGACACGGCCCAGACUCCUACGGGAGGCAGCAGUGGGGAAUAUUGGACAAUGGGCGGAAGCCUGAUCCAGCCAUGCCGCGUGUGUGAAGAAGGCCUUUUGGUUGUAAAGCACUUUAAGCGAGGAGGAGGCUACCUAGAUUAAUACUCUGGGAUAGUGGACGUUACUCGCAGAAUAAGCACCGGCUAACUCUGUGCCAGCAGCCGCCGUAAGAC